GACGAGCAUCACAAACGUUAUUCGGAAAUUACUGGGCGUAAAGGGCUCGUAGGCGGCCAACUAAGUCAGACGUGAAAUCCCUCAGCUUAACUGGGGAACUGCGUCUGAUACUGGAUGGCUUGGAUUCGGGAGAGGAAUGCGGAAUUCCAGGUGUAGCGGUGAAAUGCGUAGAUAUCUGGAGGAACACCGGUGGCGAAGGCGGCAUUCUGGACCGAUAUUGACGCUGAGGAGCGAAAAGCCAGGGGGAGCAAACGGGG
rnacentral:rRNA from 1 species